rnacentral:lncRNA from 1 species
CGGCGCAGGCGGCCGACCGGGAGCGCGGACAACGCGGCUGCGGCUAACCCGCCGCCCGGCCGGCUGAGACCCUCGCGCCCCUGCUCCUGGGGCCCCCGCCCCCUCGCCGUCUCCGCCUCCUUCCUCACACACCCCCAGGCCGCCCGGGCCGCCCGGGCCCCAAGCCUUCCCGGUGCUCCUCCCUCUUCUCCUCACACUCGCUCUCUGGCUGGGGUCCGCCUGCCGCCCGCUGGCCUGCUCCCUCCGGGGCAAGUCCUGCUUCUUAAGCGCUCCUUUCACACACGCGCGCGCUCGCUGGGCCGUCCCCUCCUCUCCGGCCCUCCUCCUCCUCCUGGUCCUUGCUAACGCUGCCGUCGGGGAGGAUUGAUGUCCCUUCAGCAUCAUGCAGCCGCCGCCGAGGAAGGUGAAAGUUACACAAGAACUGAAAAACAUUCAAGUUGAGCAGAUGACAAAACUUCAAGCCAAACAUCAAGCAGAAUGUGAUUUGCUUGAAGAUAUGAGGACAUUCAGUCAGAAGAAGGCUGCUAUUGAAAGAGAGUAUGCACAGGAGCAUGUAUCCCGUUUGGAAAUCUUUUCUCGAGGGAACAAUGCAGGUAGCCCAGUCUCGGAUGAAUAUAUGUGAAAACUAUAAAAACUUCAUUUCUGAGCCUGCAAGGACAGUGAGAAGCUUAAAAGAACAGCAACUAAAAAGGGU